rnacentral:tRNA from 1 species
UGGGGUGUCGCCAAGCGGUAAGGCACGGGCCUUUGGAGCCCGCAUUCGGGGGUUCGAAUCCCUCCACCCCAGCCU